rnacentral:tRNA from 1 species
GCGCCCGUGGCUCAACUGGAUAGAGCAACGGACUACGGAUCCGUAGGUUGGGGGUUCAAAUCCCUCCGGGCGCGCCA